UGAACGCUAGCGACAGGCCUAAACACAUGCAAGUCGAGGGGCAGCACGAAUCAAGCUUGCUUGAUUUGGUGGCGACCGGCGCGACGGGUGCGUAACAGGUGUGCAAUCUGUCCAUAAUCGGGGAAUAGCCCAGCGAAAGUUGGAUUAAUGCUCCAUGUGAGCAGGGGAGGCAUCUCCUUUGUUUGAAACGUAAGGAUUAUGGGUGAGCACGCUUCUGAUUAGGUAGUUGGUGAGGUAACGGCUCACCAAGCCGACGAUCAGUAGGGGUUCUGAGAGGAAGGUCCCCCACAUUGGAACUGAGACACGGUCCAAACUCCUACGGGAGGCAGCAGUGAGGAAUAUUGGUCAAUGGACGAAAGUCUGAACCAGCCAAGUCGCGUGAAGGAUGAAGGUUCUAUGGAUUGUAAACUUCUUUUGUCUGAGGGUAAAAAAGCGGACGUGUCCGUUCUUGCAAGUAUCAGACGAAUAAGCAUCGGCUAACUCCGUG
rnacentral:rRNA from 1 species